AGUUAAGUUUUACCUGCACUGGCCAAUGAUGACAUGGUCACCUUCCUUGACACGGAAGCAUGGGGAGACGUGAGCCGGAAUGUUGGAAUGCCUCUUCUCAUACCUGCAACCCAAGUCAGAAAAAGGAAAAGAAACAUAAGUAGAAUCCAUAAUUGUUUACUUGCCUCUGAUAUUUCUUCACAAAGUGGAGGUAGUUCCUGCGAACAAUGAUAGUCCUGUUCAUCUUAGCACUAUGGCAUGUUCCGGCAAUGAUUCUGCCUCUGAUAGAAACAGUUCCAGUGAAUGGGCACUUCUUAUCAAUGUAUGUCCCUGCAAGGAAUUGUAAUUAAUCAACUGCUCAGUACUUGAAAGAAUUAGCAUAAAAGAAAUAGCAUUAUUCAGCUGCAUUUAAAUUACUAGUCAAACAUACCAGCAACAGUGUAUCAAAAGAAUUUAAGAAAUACUGUUAACUGAUGACAGGCAACGAUUCUUUCAGAAACAAUUUUUAAUGUUCAUAAUGCACUACAAAUCACUUCAGUGGUAACAGUAAAACAAACCAUAAUUCUUCUCUACAGCACACAAAAGAUAGUAAGCAAGAAUCUAAAAUGUAAUGAAUUGGAAUUCUGGUAACAACUAAACAAAGAAGCAAGACUCUAUUGUACCUUCAAUUGCUUCCCUGGGAGUCUUGAAGCCAAGGCCAAUGCUCUUCCAGAAACGGUUGCCACCCUUACCUGGCUUCUUACCCUUGCCAGACUUCUUUGAGCUAAAAUCAAGCAGAAAAACAUUGUCAAGACGUGUGAAUUGCUCACAGAAUAGUACAUAAUUGAUUGAAGGAGCAGCAGAACCCUACCUGAGGAAAACCUUUGGCUGCUUCAGGAAUGCCUUCUCAGUCUGCACAACAGGAAUGGAUGUAAAACAUCAAUACUACACAAAAUCUGCUAGAACCACCUGCAUCACUCGUUUGCAUGAACAAAUGGGAAACAAGAUAACAAACCUAUAUCUAACUCUCUAACAGAUAAGCUCCACACUAACCACAAAACUGCACCUGGCAUUUGCUACCAUGAACAUGGCUCACAAGUCACAACAUAUCAAGUGAGAGUUGAGAAUGGUACUAUGCAAACCCACCGCCCAACUACUCCCACAUCUAACAAGAAAACCUCAACAAACUCAUGAGACUAGGCUAGAACCCCAAAUCAAAUCUAUAAUCGACAAUAAUGACCAACAUACUGAUGUGCAAGGCUACCAAACCAGUUUUCCCUCCCUACAAUUCCAGGCCAAAUCACGCAAUACCACUGAGCAACACCGACAAGAAGAUCCGAGUCACAUAACAAGGACACCAUAGAACUGACCCUAAGCAAGCGACGGAGAAGCUCGAGGGUAAGACUGGGAGGAGCCUUACCUGCUCAGCCAUGGCUGCCGCGGAGGGGUAUCGACCGGCGGGCGGGCGGCGGCGGCGGCGCGCGGGGGAUCCGGAGAGGCGGGAGGGCAGGGGAGUGGAGACGAGGCUUUGCUAAGAAGGAGGUGGCGGCGCGGAGGCAAACCCUAGCGAUGCAGAUACACCCCUCUCUAUAUGGGCCGUAAACAUCGGCCCAAGAAGGCCCAAACUCCGGCCGGGAAGAAGCUCAGAGCGGUGUUCUUGCAGCUUUACCACUAACAAUCAUCACCCCAACCUGCACUUCGUGCGAAUUAAACUUCAAGCAUUACUCAUUUGAUGGAUCGUCUAUGCUAAAAAAAAAUGGCAGUGAUUUCUCGUUAAUUUGUGGUCGAUCGCAUCGUCUUGGAGUGCAAGACUGUAGCAGUUAUACGAGACUGAACAUUUUUCGUUGAUCUGAACUCUAAUUCUCUGAAGGACAAAGGUGAACAUUUCAGAGUUGUGUUUGAUUGUGAAACGUAAAUGGUGUACCAGGCUAACAUUUCAGAUAUUCGAACAUUUCAGAGUUGUGUUUGAUUGUGAAAUGUAAACGUUGUACCAGAUAUUAGCAUCCUCCCAAAGCUUAGGUGCGAUAGGAAGAUGUCAGGUCCAUUGAUAAACUUAUAAGAUUCAAGCCUUGUCAAAAAAACUGAAUUAGGUCAGGUUUGGGUUUGGGAAAACCUUAUUCAGAAUCUCAGUCAUGCACAGGCACAGCAUAUCCACCAAUACUCUUUCGAAGAAACACAACAAACAAGCGUCAACACAUAGCCAGCCAGGAAAAUCAAGGAUCACAGCAUAUCGAGCAUUAACAGGCAUCUUAACAAAACUUUGCAUAGAGUAGAUUCCAUAAAACACGUUCUGAUGAUAAGACUUCGUUUUGUUGGGAACAAUAUCCAAAUCGAUAGGGUCAAAACACCAGCCCUGCCAGGACUUCAAGCAAAAGGAUCUGUCUAUAAACUACCCAUGAAUAAUGCGAGUACAAGCUCAUGCUGCGGUGAAGGCCUUCUUGCCGCCGCUGCCGCCGGUGGAUCCAGCUGGGAUGACCUUCAGGACGUUGAACCUCACAGUUUUCGACAGCGGCCUGUUGAAAAUGCAGAAAUUGUACUUCAGCAACCAAAUCUCACAGUACUAGCUGGGUGAACUGACAAUGUUUGAACUAAUAGCACCUCUGUUAUUUAAGAUGAUUCUAAGGAGUCAAAAACUAAGGUAUGGGAGUUAAGUUUUACCUGCACUGGCCAAUGAUGACAUGGUCACCUUCCUUGACACGGAAGCAUGGGGAGACGUGAGCCGGAAUGUUGGAAUGCCUCUUCUCAUACCUGCAAGGUGGGAGGUUUGCACCCUAUGUUAGAACGGAGAAAAGGAAAGGAAACAUAAGUAUAUAAUCCAUGGUAGUUUACUUGCCUCUGAUAUUUCUUGACAAAAUGGAGGUAGUUCCUGCGAACAAUGAUAGUUCUGUUCAUCUUGGCACUGUGGCAUGUUCCAGCAAUGAUUCUGCCUCUGAUAGAAACAGUUCCAGUGAAUGGGCACUUCUUGUCAAUGUAUG
rnacentral:lncRNA from 1 species